rnacentral:rRNA from 1 species
UACGUAGGUCCCGAACGUUGCGCGAAUUUACUGGGCGUAAAGGGUCCGUAGGCGGUUUAGCAAGGGGUUGGUGAAAUUUCACGGCUCUACCGUGAAACUGCCUUCCAAACUGCUAAACUUGAGGCAUGGAGAGGGCGGCGGAAUUCCCGGUGUAGCGGUGAAAUGCGUAGAUAUCCGGAGGAACACCAGUGGCGAAGGCGGCCGACUGGAACUGUCCUGACGCUGAGGGACGAAAGCUAGGGGAGCAAACCGG